UACGGGGGGAGCAAGCGUUGUUCGGAUUUACUGGGCGUAAAGGGCGCGUAGGCGGCCUGUGCAAGUCAGUUGUGAAAUCUCCGGGCUUAACUCGGAACGGUCAACUGAUACUGCUCGGCUAGAGUGCGGAAGGGGCAACUGGAAUUCUUGGUGUAGCGGUGAAAUGCGUAGAUAUCAAGAGGAACACCCGCGGCGAAGGCGGGUUGCUGGGCCGACACUGACGCUGAUGCGCGAAAGCUAGGGGAGCGAACGGG
rnacentral:rRNA from 1 species